CAAUAGCGUAUAUUAAAGUUGUUGCGGUUAAAAAGCUCGUAGUUGGAUUUCUGCCGAGGACGACCGGUCCGCCCUCUGGGUGUGUAUCUGGUUUGGCCUGGGCAUCUUCUUGGAGAACGUAGCUGCACUUGACUGUGUGGUGCGGUGUCCAGGACUUUUACUUUGAGGAAAUUAGAGUGUUCAAAGCAGGCCUCGGCCUCUGAAUACAUUAGCAUGGAAUAAUAAGAUAGGACUUUGGUGGUCUAUUUUGUUGGUUUGCACGCCAAAGUAAUGAUUAAUAGGGAUAGUUGGGGGUAUUCGUAUUCAAUUGUCAGAGGUGAAAUUCUUGGAUUUAUGGAAGACGAACUACUGCGAAAGCAUUUGCCAAGGAUGUUUUCAUUAA
rnacentral:rRNA from 1 species